GAGGCUUCUGAGCCUCUGCAGCCGCCUUUUCAUCAAGUAUCUUUUUCAUUUGAUCUUGCAAAGCUCGAAUUUGAAUUUGCUCAGGGGUAGCCAUCGUAUUUGAAUCAACUUGAUUGUUUUGCUUCUUAAGAUCGCGCAAAGUCUUGUUGAUUUCAAGGUCCAACUCAAAAAGAGGAUUUCCGUGAGAUCUAGUGUUCAUGCGCACCCUACAAAACCACACUAAAAAAAAUUAAAACAGAAAAUAAAAACAAAUAAAAGCCUGAAGUACUAUAAAGUCCUAUCGGAAAUAUUAAAGCAACUUCUUAUCAAUCCCCGGCAACGGCGCCAAAAAGUUGAUCACUAAAUUAUUAGCAACAAAUUACCGCAACUAACACGGUGCAAUUGUAGCACAAAU
rnacentral:lncRNA from 1 species